GGUAAUGUGGUUUAGUGGUAGAGUGCUUGUCUAGCAAGCAUGAAAUUCUGGGUUCAAUUCCUCAGUACCA
rnacentral:tRNA from 1 species